AUCGCCGUGGCCCAGGAAUGGGAGUACAUGUCCCAGCCACACCUCAGGGCUCUCCUAUGAAAGAUCGCCUCAACCUCCCAAGUGUACUAGUGUUGAACAGCUGUGGAAUAACCUGUGCAGGAGAUGAAAAAGAAAUUGCUGCCUUCUGCGCUCAUGUGUCGGAACUAGAUCUUUCUGACAACAAACUCGAAGACUGGCAUGAGGUGAAGUUUUUAUAUUGCUACAUUUUGGUGAAAAGCAGCAAUAACCCUUGUGUCAUUGUUUAUGUUAUUAUAUGUUCUGCUAAAUUCUGUUCUCACUUGAUGUCUGUAUGACUUCUUGUUGUCUGUAUAUCUUAGUGUCUGUAUGUCUGUAUAUCAAGAUAAAUAAGGCCUAUAAUCCCAGUGCUAAGGAGGCUGAGGCAGGAGGAUCACUUGAGCCCGGGAAUUCGAGGCCAG
rnacentral:sRNA from 1 species